rnacentral:lncRNA from 1 species
GGGUUGUUUGUUUAUUUUUGUAUUUGUGUGCCAAGGAGCUAAUGUGUUGGUUCAAGUCAUUAGCUCUUUUAUUAAAUUUAUAGAAAAUAGUUUUAUACUUGAAUAUAAAAUAUUUUUUACUAGUAUCCUGUACCUGGAUGAUUCUUCCAAGAUGAUGGCCUAUGGAUUUCUAAUCUUCUGGCCCCUAACUGUUGGAAUAUUUUUUAUCUUUUUUUAGAAUCUACAUUAUCCUUGUAUUUACAAAAGUAUAAUUUUUUUUUCCACGUGGAAAGGUUUCCUGGGAUGGUGGAGACAAGGGAGAGACAAGAGAGGGAAAAGAAA